rnacentral:lncRNA from 1 species
GGUGGUGAGGUGAGGGAUUGUCUGGUCAGGUGUGGAGUGGGCUGGUCAGGUGUGGGCUGGGCUGGUCAGGUGUGAGGUGGGGUGGUGAGGUGAGGGGUUGUCUGGUCAGGUGUGGAGUGGGCUGGUCAGGUGUGGGCUGGGCUGGUCAGGUGUGGGGUCGGCUGGUCAGGUGUGGGCUGGGCUGGGCUGGUCAGGUGUGGGCUGGGCUGGUCAGGUGUGGGCUGGGCUGGUCAGGUGUGCGGUGGGCUGGGCUGGUCAGGUGUGGGCUGGGCUGGUCAGGUGUGGGGUCGGAUGGUCAGGCGUGGGCUGGGCUGGUCAGGCGUGGGGCGGGCUGGUCAGGCGUGGGCUGGGCUGGGCUGGUCUGGUGUGGACUGGGCUGGUCAGGCGUGGGGUGGGCUGGUCAGGCGUGGGGUCGGCUGGUCAGGUGAGGGGUCGGCUGGUCAGGCGUGGGCUGGGCUGCUCAGGCGUGGGCUGGACUGGUCAGGCGUGGGCUGGGCUGGUCAGGCGUGGGCUGGGCUGGUCAGAUGUGGGCUGGGCUGGUCAGGUGAGGGGUCGGCUGGUCAGGCGUGGGCUGGGCUGGUCAGGCGUGGGGUGGGCUGGUCAGGCGUGGGCUGGGCUGGUCAGGUGUGGGCUGGGCUGGUCAGGUGUGGAGUGGGGUGGUGAGGUGAGGGGUUGUCUGGUCAGGUGUGGAGUGGGCUGGUCAGGUGUGGGCUGGGCUGGUCAGGUGUGGGGUCGGCUGGUCAGGUGUGGGCUGGGCUAGGCUGGUCAGGUGUGGGGUCGGCUGGUCAGGUGUGGGCUGGGCUGGUCAGGUGUGGGGUGGGCUGGUCAGGUGUGGGACGGGCUGGUCAGGUGUGGGACAGGCUGGUCAGGUGUGGGCUGGGCUGGUCAGGUAUGGGCUGGGCUGGUCAGGUGUGCGGUGGGCUGGGCUGGUCAGGUGUGCGGUGAGCUGGGCUGGUCAGGUGUGGGGUGGGCUGGUCAGGCGUGGGCUGGGCUGGG